GGGGGUCCUGGGCACCGGGCGAGAUUAUGCCGACAAGCCCCUGGAGAAGCCUCUAAAGCUAGUCCUGAAGGUCGGAGGAAGUGAAGUGACUGAACUCUCAGGAUCCGGCCACGACUCCAGUUACUAUGAUGACAGGUCAGACCAUGAGCGAGAGAGGCACAAAGAAAAGAAAAAGAAGAAGAAGAAGAAGUCCGAGAAGGAGAAGCAUCUGGACGAUGAGGAAAGAAGGAAGCGAAAGGAAGAGAAGAAGCGGAAGCGAGAGAGGGAGCACUGUGACACGGAGGGAGAGGCUGACGACUUUGAUCCUGGGAAGAAGGUGGAGGUGGAGCCGCCCCCAGAUCGGCCAGUCCGAGCGUGCCGGACACAGCCAGUUCUCGGUGGAACUUAAAAUGCUGUGAGACAC
rnacentral:lncRNA from 1 species